UUGGCCAGUUUGUUUCGUUAUCAGUUUCCUACCGACUGCACUAUAAGUGAAUUCAGUAUUAUCAAGACGAUGGCGGAGAUCGAGUACUCUGAAGAAAUUGACGACGUCUCCGAUGAAGAUUACGAAAUCAUUAGAAGAUAUCAAGAAGCGGAUGCGCAGUUUCAAAAACAUCCGCCAUUUUUGUCCCAGUUUACAGAGUCCACCGAUCGCGUUAGAAGUUGGCUCAACGAUAAAGGCAGAGAAUUUAACAUUGGUAAAAUAAUCGCGAUGUCCGAGGGUGAUAAUUACGAUUUCAACAGAUCCACCGGAUGCGACGAAUUCUUGGUCCAGUAUCACGCGAUUUCAAAUAAAUUGAAAAAACGAUUUUUGAGAAAACCAAAUGUCUCUGAAGCCUGCGAUCAGUUUAGUGCGUUAGCGACGCAGUGCGAACAGAAGGAACUCUGGCAGUAUGCCGGUCUUUGCUGGCUCGCGGCAGCUCGAUGUCAAGGAACAUUGGGCAAUGCUAGCACAGAGGCCAGUUUGCUGGCUAGAGCCGGCAGACAGUUUCUAACAGCGGAGAAAAAGAACGUAAUGAUCGGAUGCCCUGCUCCGGGUCAAGAGAAUGUGCAGGCAGCUGUGAGUUGUUUCGGCCAUUCUUUGGCUCGCACUCAAAAUCAGCCAGGAUCUAGUAUGGCGGCGGCUGGCUUGGCACUGGAAUUGGCUACUGCUUUGGGUUCAAGUCCUGCUGGUUCUCAGCAACUUCGUAGAGCGAUAAGCAUACAUGCGACACCGCAGUCGCUUGGCAUGCUUGCGUCAACUCAUAUUAAGCAGGGUGAUUACGUAACAGCUUUAAGCGUGCUUAGCGAAUUGGCAGAAUUAGUGGAAGCUAAUGUCGGAGGAGGAAAUACAGCCACUGGAAAUAACUGUGACAUAUUACACAGAUGCGAAGUGAGCAGAGUCCUACUGCUCCUCAUAUUACAACCGACACCGCAAAGACUAGCUCCGUCAUUGGCUCAACUGUUGGAAAAAUAUGCCUGGGUCGAAGAGAGCAGCAAUGCAGGUCCCGGGAUGAGUGAAGAUGAAAUGCUGUUGUUACAGUCUUUAGUACUGGCCUGCCAGUCUCAGGAUUAUCAAGCAUUGUUGGAACUGGAAGGCGAGUUAUGGCCGUAUUUAGAUACCGAGCAAAAAGAACUGCUGCGUAAGCUUGUGCAAACUUUGACAGCACGUUAAAUCUUGCAUAAACAUCGCUCGAUGUCCUACCUAUGGCGCCAACGUUUUCACCAAAUGUAUUUGUGCCGUUCCCACUGCCCCAGAGCCCGGCUAAUACGGUACCAAGACCCUCGGUACCGAUACCUCGAUUUAUCGCGUGGAGCGGAGGCGGUGGUGCUCCUGAAACGAAACGAAGUAAAUCAAAAGCAUUAUUGAACGAGUAUGAGCAACGUGGAGAGUUCCUAACUGCGUAAUUGAUUGGUCAACAUUUAUUUUGUUCGCAAUGCUACGUGUUUCGCACCUUUCCAAUAAGUGGAAGACGGACAAGCUGUCAAUCUGCUCACCGCACAUUCUAGAAGUCGUUGGAUAGUAACUGAUCGACUCAACUGUACAGGCCAAUACACCCGCCAACAUUCCUAGGACCCCCGCCAGACUCACUGUGGGUAGACCCCAUUGUCCGGGAUAAGGAAUCCUAAACCAGGACGAAUCUUGGAGAAUUUUUAUUUUCACAUCUGUGCGCGCCGGAUGCCCGGGCGGAAAUGUGUCGGUGGCUGUUAAAAUUCCACAUACAGCCCACAUUAUGGAUAUGGUCAAUAGAACCUGAAAGCGACGUAAGUCUGGCUCACGAAAAAAUCGACUACGGUAAAAAUGGCGAAGGUUCUUUUAGCUCAAAUCCUUCUCACCGGAAAAAGUUUGAACAAGUAGCACCAAACGAUUUGGAAACCACCAGUUUUCCGCCAAACUAUCAUAGGCACUUGUAAAUUCCCUAGGAGUUGGGAAUAUACGGUCAUCAUUAAGAUUGUUCUGGAAAAGAAAUGAUGAAAUUUAUUCACGCUCUGAUCAUUGUUAAACGAUGGUGAGUUCUCGUUCAGGACAAGUCGCCGAUACGGCGGUAUGACAAUUAAGUUUAUAUUACCCGGCGGCGAUGCCCCAGUGCUGAGAUGCUGCCGUUGCAGCGUUUUCAAAUAACGACAAUCCGACCAGAGAUACCGUAGGGACGAUUGUUAAAGGAGUAACAUACUUGAGCAUCGAUCCGAUGAUUCCUCGAGUUUUUCACACGAUCUCUCCUCUACACAUGGAUCAUUUGUAGCACGUAACGAGCAAUAAGCGUGUAUGCUGAAAAAAUUUGCGCCUUUACAAGAA
rnacentral:misc_RNA from 1 species